AUGGCCACAUCCAUCGAAGACCCAUUUUCUCUUCAACAACCGUCGUGCUUUAUCCGUCGUUCAAAGAUGUCGGAAGUGGAACCACCCUUUAGACCACGCGUGAAGAUUAUUGAGAAGCAAAAGUAUUUCCAGAAUAUCCCAAAACACACCUACCUGAAAGGGCCAUUGGAUAAGGUUACAUCGGUAGCAAUACCAAUUGCUCUCGCAGGAACUUCAUUGUUUCUGAUUGGUCGAGGGAUCUACAAUAUGUCACUUGGAAUAGGAAAGAAAGAAUGA